UUUUGUCUCCACAUUCCUCUCUGAAUGCAGGACAGGAGGCGGAUUAAUAUUUGAUACUCCACACUGGCGACGUCAUGCAUUUGGCUUCGCUGCUCAAAACAACAGGACAUCAGGUGACUCAUCACUUGUUGUACAGUCCCAGUCCGAACUGCCUGUGAUUACAGUAAACUCCGGCGUCGGUACAUUCCUGCUCUUCCUGGUUUUGUUUGCUGGGACCCGAGCGGGCUCGGGGACAGACUGGGGACAGACUGGCCCUAUCAGCACCGCCGGUCCAAACAUGCCCGCUGAUACCAAAACACAAAGUCUAGUCAUAACCAAACAGCCGGGGACCAGCAGGAAGGAAGCGAGCUCGGUCCGCGGAAGAGAAGGAGACGGCGUUCCGCCGCAUCAAUCGGUAACUUUCGAUGGUUUCAGGUGUCGAGGGUCACGCUUCAAAGGACUCGCUCGCACUCCAGAGGGUAAACAGUGACAUGGAUGUUUUGAAUAGCCGGCAUUCCUGGAGGCUUGCUCGCCAAGCUCAGAGGUGAGCCUCGUCAAGCGCUGAGAUCAUUCCAAGACAAACGUGUCAGUGUGCGCGGCAUGGUGGGAAGUGUCCUGCCUGUCAUUUGUCUUGCAGAAACGGCUCCGGACCAGCAGACAUUCCUUCACAUCUGUAAUCCUUAAUACUACUCACUGGCAGGCCCGUACUGGACGGCGUACUUCACAUCAUGGUCUAGAUCUUCAUCGGUGUGCGGGCACACGUACGCUGGAUACGGUCUCUCCGUAAACAGCCACUGUCCUCUGCGCGACGCGGCGGAUCAAAAUCUUGAUUCGCCUUUCAGACACCUGACGAUGUUCAUCUGCAACCAGACGUUGUAAACAUGUAGCAGGUGAAUACGUGAUGGAUGGUGGCAGACCGGAGUCAAAGAGGACACAGGGAAAGUGUUUUUAUGCACGUCCACCGGGACCACAUACUGAGAUACUAGAAGUACUUAUCAUGAUGGAGCCAGACGUGUGGCUCUAAACAAUUAACUUUAGGAUAGGUG
ensembl:lncRNA